ensembl:antisense
GUUGAGCCUUGAUCAGAACACUGUCUUUGCUCCAUGCUUCUCUUUCCCCAAACUCUUUUUUUUCCAGCCCUCCUUUUCAGGUGAGCUCUGCUCAGCUGUAAGUCGCUGGGUACAGGUGGUACCCGAACAGGCACUCCUCCUGAACAGGGAGGACUUGCUGAGAAAAGCUGCUUUUUUUUGAGCAUCCACGGAACAAAUUGAAAGUAAAAGGCAAUUCAGAGUACAGAAAGGGGCACCAUGAGAACAUGAACUUAGCUUGAAAAUGUUACCAAAAAUGGAGUCAUGAUUACUCAUAAUGGAGCAACUUAGCUAGGCAUGUGGAAAAUGCAUGUGAUCAAGAUCGAAGGAAGAUGCUGAGACAGCUGGAUUUUAGAUGCCUUCAGAGACCCAAUCACAUCAAUGUUCAACUGCCUGUUGGGCUAUGUGACCAUCAUGAGGAGUAUGGCAUGUGUUC